UAGGGAAUCUUCGGCAAUGGACGAAAGUCUGACCGAGCAACGCCGCGUGAGUGAAGAAGGUUUUCGGAUCGUAAAACUCUGUUGUUAGAGAAGAACAAGGACGUUAGUAACUGAACGUCCCCUGACGGUAUCUAACCAGAAAGCCACGGCUAACUACGUGUCAGCAGCCGCGGUAAUACGUAGGUGGCAAGCGUUGUCCGGAUUUAUUGGGCGUAAAGCGAGCGCAGGCGGUUUCUUAAGUCUGAUGUGAAAGCCCCCGGCUCAACCGGGGAGGGUCAUUUGAAACUGGGAGACUUGAGUGCAGAAGAGGAGAGUGGAAUUCCAUGUGUAGCGGUGAAAUGCGUAGAUAUAUGGAGGAACACCAGUGGCGAAGGCGGCUCUCUGGUCUGUAACUGACGCUGAGGCUCGAAAGCGUGGGGAGCAAACAGG
rnacentral:rRNA from 1 species